rnacentral:rRNA from 1 species
AUGACGGGAGGGGGAGAGGAGGACGGCGAGCCAGGGCAUAAGACGGUGCUCUUCACCAAGGGGGAGGACACCGGCGGCGACCUCGCCCGCGGCUCCUCCAAGGCCGCAGGCGGCGACUCCUCCAAGGCCGCGGGCGCCGACCUCGCCCGCGACUCCUUAAAGGCCGCAGGCGGCGACCACGCCCACGACUCCUCCAAGGCCGCGGCCCCGACUCCUCCAAGGCCGCGGGCGGCGACCGCGGCCCCGACUCCUCCAAGGCCGCUGGCGGCGACCGCGUCCCCGACUCCUCCAAGGCCGCUGGCGGCGACCGCGUCCCCGACUCCUCCAAGGCCGCUGGCGGCGACAGCGUCCCCGACUCCUCCAAGGCCGCUGGCGGCGACCGCGUCCCCGACUCCUCCAAGGCCGCUGGCGGCGACCGCGUUCCCGACUCCUCCAAGGACACCGUUGGCGACGACUCCCGCGUUCGCCUCAAGUGCACAACCGGCUACUCUCUGA